rnacentral:misc_RNA from 1 species
GGAAGUACAAGUCGUAACAAGGUUUCCGUAGGUGAACCUGCGGAAGGAUCAUUACAGUGUUCCCUGCCCUUCGGGGUAGGAUCGCCACCCUUGAUUAUUUAUGAGUGUUGCUUUGGCGGGCCUCGCGGCCUGGCCGCGCCCCGGCUUCGGCGGGGGAGCGCCCGCCAGAGGAUUCUACAAACCUGAUUAUUAGUGUCGUCUGAGUACUAUAUAAUAGUUAAAACUUUCAACAACGGAUCUCUUGGUUCUG